GCGGAGGGAUCAUUACACAAUAUGAAAGCGGGCUGGACUCCCCCCAGCAGUGCGUUGCUUUGCGGCGUGCGCUGUUGGGGCCAGCCUUGCUGAAUUAUUCACCCGUGUCUUUUGCGUACCUCUUGUUUCCUUGGUGGGUUCGCCCACCACAAGGACAAACCAUAAACCUUUUGUAAUUGCAAUCAGCGUCAGUAACAAUAAUAAUAAUUACAACUUUCAACAACGGAUCUCUUGGUUCUGGCA
rnacentral:misc_RNA from 1 species